UACGUAGGUGGCGAGCGUUAUCCGGAAUUACUGGGCGUAAAGCGCACGCAGGCGGUUUCUUAAGUUUGACGUGAAAACUCCUGGCUUAACUGGGAGAGGUCGUUGAAGACUGGGGAACUUGAGGCAAUGAGAGGGAUGUAGAAUUCACGGUGUAGUGGUGGAAUGCGUAGAUAUCGUGAGGAAUACCAGUGGCGAAAGCGACAACCUGGCAUUAGCCUGACGCUCAUGUGCGAAAGCGUGGGGAGCGAACGGG
rnacentral:rRNA from 1 species